CCUACGGGAGGCUGCAGUCGAGAAUCAUUCACAAUGGGGGAAACCCUGAUGGUGCGACGCCGCGUGGGGGAAUGAAGGUCUUCGGAUUGUAAACCCCUGUCAUGUGGGAGCAAAUUAAAAAGAUCGUACCACAAGAGGAAGAGACGGCUAACUCUGUGCCAGCAGCCGCGGUAAUACAGAGGUCUCAAGCGUUGUUCGGAAUCACUGGGCGUAAAGCGUGCGUAGGCUGUUUCGUAAGUCGUGUGUGAAAGGCGCGGGCUCAACCCGCGGACGGCACAUGAUACUGCGAGACUAGAGUAAGGGAGGGGGAACCGGAAUUCUCGGUGUAGCAGUGAAAUGCGUAGAUAUCGAGAGGAACACUCGUGGCGAAGGCGGGUUCCUGGACAUUAACUGACGCUGAGGCACGAAGGCCAGGGGAGCGAAAGGGAUUAGAUACCCGGGUAGUC
rnacentral:rRNA from 1 species